rnacentral:piRNA from 1 species
AAGUAAACAUGGGACUGUUUGUAUUCG